CCUACGGGGGGCAGCAGUGAGGAAUAUUGGUCAAUGGGCGCGAGCCUGAACCAGCCAAGUCGCGUGAGGGAAGACGGUCCUAUGGAUUGUAAACCUCUUUUGUCGGGGAGCAAAAGACGCCACGCGUGGCGUUCCGAGAGUACCCGAAGAAAAAGCAUCGGCUAACUCCGUGCCAGCAGCCGCGGUAAUACGGAGGAUGCGAGCGUUAUCCGGAUUUAUUGGGUUUAAAGGGUGCGCAGGGGGAAGAUCAAGUCAGCGGUAAAAUUGAGAGGCUCAACCUCAUCGAGCCGUUGAAACUGGUUGUCUUGAGUGAGCGAGAGGUAUGCGGAAUUCGUGGUGUAGCGGUGAAAUGCUUAGAUAUCACGCAGAACUCCGAUUGCGAAGGCAGCAUACCGGCGCUCAACUGACACUCAUGCACGAAAGUGUGGGUAUCGAACAGGAUUAGAUACCCCUGUAGUC
rnacentral:rRNA from 1 species